GGAUUGCCCCAGUAACGGCGAGUGAAGCGGCAAAAGCUCAAAUUUGAAAUCUGGCUCCCGUUCGGGGGUCCGAGUUGUAAUUUGUAGAGGAUGCUUCGGGUGCGGCCGCGGCGCAAGUCCCUUGGAACAGGGCGUCGCAGAGGGUGAGAACCCCGUCUUGAGUCGCCGGUACGCGCCCAUGCGAAGCUCCUUCGACGAGUCGAGUUGUUUGGGAAUGCAGCUCUAAGUGGGUGGUAAAUUUCAUCUAAAGCUAAAUAUUGGCCGGAGACCGAUAGCGCACAAGUAGAGUGAUCGAAAGGUUAAAAGCACCUUGAAAAGGGAGUUAAAAAGCACGUGAAAUUGUUGAAAGGGAAGCGCUUGCGACCAGACUCGGGCGCGGUGGUUCAGCGGGCAUGCUUGCCCGUGCACUCCGCCGCGCUCCGGGCCAGCAUCAGUUUCGACGGUCGGUCAAAGGCCCCCGGAAUGUAUCGUCCUCCGGGACGUCUUAUAGCCGGGGGUGCAAUGCGGCCAGUCGGGACUGAGGAACGCGCUUCGGCACGGAUGCUGGCGUAAUGGUCGUAAGUGACCCGUCUUGAAACACGGACCAAGGAGUCUAACAUCCACGCGAGUGUUCGGGUGUCAAACCCGUGCGCGCAGUGAAAGCAAACGGAGGUAGGAGCCCGUCAGGGUGCACUAUCGACCGAUCCUGAUGUCUUCGGAUGGAUUUGAGUAUGAGCGUGGCUGUUGGGACCCGAAAGAUGGUGAACUAUGCCUGAAUAGGGUGAAGCCAGAGGAAACUCUGGUGGG
rnacentral:rRNA from 1 species